GACGAACGCUGGCGGCGUGCCUAACACAUGUAAGUCGCACGGGACCGGGGGCAACUCCGGUUCAGUGGCAGACGGGUGCGUAACACGUGAGGAACCUGUCCGACGGCGGGGGAUAGCCGGCCCAACGGCCGGGUAAUACCGCAUACGAUCGUUUGGGGGCAUCCCCGAGCGAUGAAAGCAGCCGCAAGGUUGCGCCGAUGGAGGGUCUCGCGGCCUAUCAGCUAGUUGGCGGGGUAACGGCCCACCAAGGCGACGACGGGUAGCUGGUCUGAGAGGAUGGCCAGCCACAUUGGGACUGAGACACGGCCCAGACUCCUACGGGAGGCAGCAGUGGGGAAUCUUGCGCAAUGGCCGCAAGGCUGACGCAGCGACGCCGCGUGU
rnacentral:rRNA from 1 species